rnacentral:rRNA from 1 species
GUUUGAUCCUGGCUCAGGAUGAACGCUAGCUACAGGCUUAACACAUGCAAGUCGAGGGGCAGCAUGACGAUAGCUUGCUAUUGUUGAUGGCGACCGGCGCACGGGUGAGUAACGCGUAUCCAACCUGCCCUUGUCCAUCGGAUAACCCGUCGAAAGGCGGCCUAACACGAUAUGCAGUUCUCAGCAGGCAUCUAACGAGAACGAAAUGUAAAGGAGAAGGAUGGGGAUGCGUCUGAUUAGCUUGUUGGCGGGGUAACGGCCCACCAAGGCGACGAUCAGUAGGGGUUCUGAGAGGAAGGUCCCCCACAUUGGAACUGAGACACGGUCCAAACUCCUACGGGAGGCAGCAGUGAGGAAUAUUGGUCAAUGGACGGAAGUCUGAACCAGCCAAGUAGCGUGCAGGAUGACGGCCCUAUGGGUUGUAAACUGCUUUUAUACGGGGAUAAAGUGAGCCACGUGUGGCUUAUUGCAGGUACCGUAUGAAUAAGGACCGGCUAAUUCCGUGCCAGCAGCCGCGGUAAUACGGAAGGUCCGGGCGUUAUCCGGAUUUAUUGGGUUUAAAGGGAGCGUAGGCCGUUUGUUAAGCGUGUUGUGAAAUGUCGGGGCUCAACCUGGGCAUUGCAGCGCGAACUGGCAGACUUGAGUGCGCGGGAAGUAGGCGGAAUUCGUCGUGUAGCGGUGAAAUGCUUAGAUAUGACGAAGAACUCCGAUUGCGAAGGCAGCCUGCUGUAGCGUAACUGACGCUGAAGCUCGAAAGCGUGGGUAUCGAACAGGAUUAGAUACCCUGGUAGUCCACGCGGUAAACGAUGGAUGCUCGCUGUUUGCGUCUGACGUAAGCGGCCAAGCGAAAGCGUUAAGCAUCCCACCUGGGGAGUACGCCGGCAACGGUGAAACUC